rnacentral:rRNA from 1 species
GACAGUGUCAGGCGGGGAGUUUGACUGGGGCGGUACAUCUGUUAAAUAAUAACGCAGGUGUCCUAAGGUUAGCUCAGUGAGGACAGAAACCUCACGUAGAGUAAAAGGGCAAAAGCUAACUUGAUCUAUGACCUUCAGUACUGGUAUAGACCGCGAAAGCGUGGCCUAUCGAUCCUUUUGUUGUCUUUAAACGGUUGACAGUUUCAAGCAAGAGGUGUCAGAAAAGUUACCACAGGGAUAACUGGUAGCGCUAAGGCUUAAUACGGUUGUCGCAAGGCAAUCACCAAAUAAAAGUAUUAAGCGGUGCAGCGUUACAAACUCUGGUGUUUAGUGAUGUCAAUGUAGUGUGCGGGGCAACUCGUGCACUGCUUUCGGCCUAGCGUACAAGUCCCUUUGACUUGGGCCUAUUCUUUAAUUGAGAUGCCUGCGGGUUUGGGGCAACUUGGAUCCGUGGGUGAGCCAUAGAGGGUGAAAGUCCCUUAAUGCGCAGGUAUUGAUGUCACGAACUAGAGCAGUGGUGUCUGGUAAAACAGGCAUUGCGAUUUGUUAGAGUCGGGUUGCUUGAGAGUGCAACCUAAAGAGCGAGGUAAACUGCUCGUAAGGCUACUUUUAAAUACGGCUACGACACCGAUAGCGAACAAGUACCGUGAGGGAAAGUUGCAAAGCACUUUGAAGAGAGAGUUAAACAGGGCGUGAAACCGCUAGCUGGUAAAACCCGUCUUGAAACACGGACCAAGGAGUGUAGGAGGGUUGUGUUGGUAGCGUUGAAGGCUAUGAGGGAGUGAUCCUGGCUGGAGCUGCCAAUAGUACAGAUCUUGGUGGUAGUAGCAAAUACUCAAGUGAGACCCUUGAGGGCCAAUGUGGAGAAGGGUUCCAUGCUAACAGCAAUUGGACAUGGGUCAGUCGGUGAAUUAGGUUAAUAUUCCUAAACCAAGAUGGGGAGAAGGCACGGACCACGGGAAUCCGACUGUCUAAUUAAAACAAAGCAUUGCGAUGGCCUAAGAUUGUGGUGUUGACGCAAUGUGAUUUCUGCCCAGUGCUAUGAAUGUCACAGUGAAGAAAUUCAUCUAAGCGCUAGUAAACGGCGGGAGUAACUAUGACUCUCUUGUGGUAGCCAAAUGCCUCGUCAUCUAAUUAGUGACGCGCAUGAAUGGAUUAACGAGAUUCCCACUGUCCCUAUCUACUACCUAGCGAAACCACAGCCAAGGGAACGGGCUUGGCAAAAUCAGCGGGGAAAGAAGACCCUGUUGAGCUUGACUCUAGUCUGGCUUUAAACGGAGUAUGUAUGUGUGUAUAGGGACUUGUUUCUGUAUACAUAUAUAUGCGUUGCGAGUGGAGCCACGAAGUCGUUUCGUAGAAUACAAGGCUCAGAUUCAGCUAUGGUUCCCUGUAAAAGGGGGGCUAUAGCGUAUUUCUGAUUGUCUUGCUGCGUAUGCGUACACUGCAACCAAUUGGACGGUUAAUCGUGGAAACAGUUUGCAAGUUAACAGGGAAACUUGUUGCUUGUAAACGACAAAAUUUGUGUAUCUACUGUAGGUAGCUCGAAUGUGUCUUUAUGGCUCAUAUUGGGUGUCUGACAUUUUGUAGAUACGUGAACUACGAUUAAGUACCGAUUGGCAAAACGAAAAUUGAUUCGCAAGAAUCGUUUCAUAUAAAGCGGUCAGUAUUGUAUUUAAGUACAAUUGUACGCUAUCAGUAUAAGCUUGGUAUUUUUGAAUUCAGGCACGUAUACUGUCAGUGGGUUUACUUGCUGAUGUAUGCGGUGUUUCCUGUCUAAUCGGAUAUUAACUUUGCUGGUAGUUUGAUGCAGUUGCUACGAUAGCUUGGAUACAUUGAUUGAUUUGCAAGUAUUGGCAGUGAGUAGGUCGGCUUUCCACACGCGUUGAAUCAAUGAUUUGCUUAAUUGCGAUUAGUUAUGAUUCAACGCCUAAGAGAAUGGCGAAAGCUAUUUCUGAAUCAAAGGCAGUGUAAGCAAAUAAAAAUUUCUUAAAAAUAUGUGUUUAUUAUAUAUAUAUUAUCGCACACAAAAAAUUCUCUACUAAAAAAAUAUAUACAAAAAUCAUAAACAUAUCUAUAAUUCAUAUAUAGAUGUGUUUAUUGUAAAUAUGAAUUAUAGUAGUAGUAGAAAAAAAGCAUGAUAUAUAUUAUUAUAACAUAUAAAAUUUUAGAAUGAUCACUGCAUGACUCGAAAGGUGCCAGCUGUGCGGCUACUUCACGUAGUUGUGCAUUGGCAGUGGCGGUAACGCAAAUAAGGCUCUGAGGAUCGAGUUGGUCGGGCUGUAUGCGAGAUACUUUCAUGAGUUUGUAUCUAUGCUGGACCUUUGUUCGAUAGAUGAUAUGCAGCGUAUUAGUGCAAACUAGUAUGACGGUGUCGCUAUUGUUACAUGGGAUCGGCACGGAUCGCUCGUUUGUUGAUUGCUACAGCUACGCUGGUAGUGUUUGAAUACAGGCAACUGUGUUUGGAUGCUAUCAUUUAAAAAGCGUCAUCGGCUAACAACUAACGAUCGAAUCAGAACUCAAGCUCUCGCAGAAAUGUGAAUCAGUUUCAUCUGGUAAAGCGAAUGAUUAGAGGCCUUGGGAGCGAAACGCUCUCAACCUAUUCUCAAACUUUAAAUGGGUGAGAUGUGCGACGUACUUAAUUGACGCCGUAAUCACAGUAGAAUGUAUUGAGAGCUUAGUGGGCCAUUUUUGGUAAGCAGAACUGGCGAUGCGGGAUGAACCGAAAGUGAAGUUAAGGUUGCCGAUAAUGGUGCUAACAAAUAUGCGUGCACUAGCUACACUCAUGAGAUCCCAUGAAAGGUGUAAGUUGCUAAAGACAGCAAGGACGUGGCCAUGGAAGUCGGAAUCAUCUAAGGAGUGUGUAACAACUCACUUGCCGAAGCAACUUGCCCUGAAAAUGGAAGCAGCUCGAGUGUUGAACCUAUACUUCACUCUAGUUAAGUAUCGAGUCGAUCGGUCUUGAUUAGGCCAGACAUCAGGAGCACGUAAAAAUGCAUUGUCCUGAAUAACCAACAAAUGACGGCAAAGUGAAAUCAAAUUAUGUGAUCUGAGGUCUAUAACAAUGGCCUACAGCGCAACAUAUGCCUACUCGUAUGGUUAUACGCGUAAGUGUUAACCGAGUGGAGCAAAGAGAUACUUGACUGGUAUUUUCCCACUUGGCCGUACCCAUUUCCGCAGCAGGUCUCCAAGGUUAACAGCCUCUGGUCACUUAGGAUAAUGUAGGUAAGGGAAGUCGGCAAAACGGAUCCGUAACUUCGGGAUAAGGAUUGUGAAGAGACAUGAGAGGUGUAGCAUAGGUGGGAGAUGUGUGCGUUUCGCACGUGCAUAUCGCAAGUGAAAUACCACUACUUUCAUCGUUUCUUUACUGA